rnacentral:lncRNA from 1 species
GGAAGCCGGCUGCCGCGCGGCAUCCCGGGAGGCUCCGCUUGCCCCGCCCCACGCCGGUGCGCCGCGGGCCUCUGGUCCGCUGCCGUGUUCGGCCCCGCCCGUCACGUCUAGCUGGGGCUCGCCCGGCGCCUUCCUGGACGCAGACGUAUGAGUCCCAACUCCACCCAGUCCGGCCUGGCCUCUGUCCCCGGGUGACCGCGGAAUGGGGGGGCGGGAGCUAGCGAGCAGGCCCUCAAGCGCGUCUGGCCGCCUCCUUUGUCUUGAUGCCCACGUCUGGUUAGGACCCCUGCUGUCCAUUUUAUUAAAGGAGCUGUAGAAAGCGGCCUGGGGCCCAGCGACCUGCCCAGGGCGGACGAGGAGGCGCGACUGGCCCGAUGCCCGAGCCCCGAGCCCGGCCACCGAAGCCCGUGCCACUCGCCAGCUCCUGCGAGACGAGCCUUUCGAGCGCAGCUCAGGCAUUUGGUUCAGGGUCCUACUGCCGGAGUCGUCUGAGGCCUCCAUCCGUCUGUCGUCACGAAAAAGGUUUUGGGGGGACUAAUAAGCACUUCCUGAAUGCACAUUUGCUCCACGCCCCUGCUGUAGGGAGAGGGUCUGCAGACACUUCAACAAAUAGAAUCCUAGGACCUUACCUGUGAGUACAAGAGCUGGAAUCUUCCCACCAACUUCUUAAAAUUCAAUCCUAUACUUGGUCCAUUUAGCUUAGACUGGAAAUUUCCCAAGGCAGUUUGUUUUGCAAUCUUUUGCAUGAUUUUAGCUCUGUAUAGUUUAGUGAAUGUUUAUGGUACUGAAUAAAACAGUCUAAAAACGUUGGGUACAUGUUGCUGUUUUAUUUAGUUCAACCAAAGUUUAUAAAAGUAGGACAUAAUACGUUUUCCACUUAAGAGUGAGACAGCCUUUAUUAUGAAACGGUAAAUUGUUAGGAAUACUAGUCCUAUUCAAGUUUCAAGGCUUAUUCCUAAUAAAAUACUCAAACUGUGGUUAAAAUUUAUGUUAAUGGUGGUUUGCCGCAGUAAAAUAUCAGCGUCUUUUUCAACAAUACAUUGUUGGCUAAAAUUAACCGGACCUGGUCUGUACAUCUGAAGUAUAAAAUAUCUUUAUUAAACAUACCCAUUAGUGGCAUACCUAGUCAAAAAGUAAGCAGAAUUUCACAUGCAAAUUGUAUACAAUCUGUAAAAAUUGUAUUCCAUAAGAAUGUGACAGUUGAGUACGGUUUUUGGGGGGCUUUUUUGGUGUACCAUAAUAAUGUCAUCUGGUUUCUUUUCUGAACAUCCAGUCACCAUAAUGUCCGGCU